GAGGAUAGAAAUCAAAGGAAAGGUUAAAGGAAGGAGGGAAAGAAAUUGAACCAUUUACAGCAGGUAGACCAUCCUUCUAUAAUGUUACAGUGAGUUGCUAUUCAUUUUACAUGUAAUGUAUAAACAGGGAGCAGCUCAAAGUUUUUCUGAGCUGCAACAACUUUCAGAAUGCUACUUCAAAAGAAUUUAACUUUGUUAUGCAUAUUAAGGUAUGGAUUAUUUAAUUAUCAGAAAAAUAACUAAUUUCUUCCUCAUCUGAAGGGUCAUUGUUUACCUGAGGAUUAGUUUGAGCAUCAACCAUGACACCAUGCUCAAAUGCGUUCUUCUCUUCUGAAGAGUCAUCAGCUACUGAAGAUGUCGAGAGAGCGACAUUGAUUACACCAGAUUCAAAUCUCCGCCGCCUUUCAACAGCAUUCUCGACCAAAGUUUGAAAUUCUUCAUCACUGCUAGCUAACAUGUAGCGCAGUUUAAAAUUGAUUUGAUUCUCCACUAGAACUUUGUGCCUUGGAAUUAUCCGUUCGUCUAGAGAAUAGCUGAAGAACCUUGGAAACUCAAUGAGAUCCUGCAAAGGCCGGACCAUGGUUCGCCUCAAGUAACGAUACUUAGGGCGGAGGAGGUCUAUAUUGUAACGUAGUAGCAUGGGAAAAUCAGCAAUCAUCUCACCCAAUUGACGAUGGCGUAUGCCCAGUGACAGAAAAUAUUUCAUGCUGAUAUCAAGCUUAUGCACUAUGCUGCAUCCCAAGAGCUCUGGUCCCAAAGCUAUCACCUUACCAAUAUCCCUCUCACUAACACCAGCUUUUGUCAUCAAGAAUAUGACCUGCAUGAUACUCCAAGUUCAGCUAAACAAAAUAAUAUUUGUUAUCAUUUGACCGAUCAACAAAAGGAACCAUCCAUAGAGAUUUACAUGAUGAAGAAUUAUCCCAAAUGUAUCAUUAUUGGCAAAUGAAGGACUACUGUAGUGGGGAUUUUGGCAUAACAAUCAUGCAGGAAAUAAGCUAAAUCUUCAACAACACAUCAUAUUUUGGUUUAAAAAGAGUCAUCCACAUAAAAACAGAUAUAUCAAUUCACAUAGAUGGUCAUAUUAAUUUGCUCCAAGUCUACUUGAAAAACAAAAGACAUACAUAUAUGUAUUGUGUAUUACUGGGGAUACUUCAACAAUAGUACUCUUUAUGCAGGAUAUGUAAAGAACAAAAACAGUAAUUGACUGAGAAAAAGAACAAACCACUGGCCGGAUUUUCUUGUAGAGGCUGUAUGUUAGUAGUGGUGGAAAUUUUACAAGCAUUUUGCCAAUGGCGUCAUCUCUAACACCUAUGUCCUUAAAAAAACGCACCUUCAUAAGGAAAAAAAAAAAUCUUGUUAACUCUCAUCAGAAAGAGCAACGCAUAGACUAGCAUAAUUCAAUAAGUAUCCUAUUUCAUUUAAAGAAAAUACAUAGUUCAUGCAAUGCAAAAAUUAUUAGCAGAGCUAGAUUCUAGAGAGCAAAAAAUGAAGAUAAGAAAAUAAGAUUAGCAGGACAAAACUAAAAGGGAGAAUUAAGCUAGAUUACAAAACUUGCUUGUUUAAUGGUGUAGCAUUAACAAAGCUGAAGCAUAAUCAUGUAACAACCAGCAAUUCAUACCUUUGGCACUAUAGUCUCUUCCAAAUCAACACAGAAAACUAUUGGUUUAAUGGUAAGCAUUCUCCUCAUACCAUCUCGAGAGAUUCCAAGGUAGUAUAAAUACUUAACAAGAGGCUUCCACCUUUCCUCAAUGCUACAACCCAUCAAUUGUGGCUUAAAUGCAAGUAAUCUCCCAACUUCUUCAUUAUUGACACCAAACUCCUUCAGGUAAUUAACCUUUUGGUUCAUCUCUUCCAGGGUAAAAUAGCCAAGUACCCUAGGAUAAUCAAAGACCAUUGUGCCAAAAUCCUUCUCAUUCAUACCCAUAUCCAAGUAGAACCUGACUCGAGCUUUCACUUCUUCCAUGCUAUAAGACAAUAAUUGAGGACACCGACUCAUUACAUAGCCCAUCCAAUCCCUCCUCACACCAUUGCUCUCUAAAUACUCAACGAUUUCAGCUAGUUCUUCAUCACUGCGUUCUAAAAUGUUAUCCCCUGCUUUUGUGAGCACAACCCCGAGAAACUCUCCCCUGACAUGAAUUGACUUCAACCACUCAGCCCGGCCUGUAAUGGACUCUAGAUUUCCUCUGGACAAGCAUAUGAGCUUCGCAAUCUUAGGAUAUGGCAACCCAUUGUGUUUCAGCCACCUGAUAAGUGGGACAACGUUCAAGUCCUCAAUAACAGUCUUAGCUCUAAUAUUGAAACUCGAAGACUCAAACUCAGGCAACCUCUUCAAUUUCGCGGCCUCAAUCAUAAUAAAGUCAAUAAAAUCACUCAAUCUAUCAACCAAAUUGGUCGAAUACGUUAUUCCGAACUUGCCUUUCCUCUUCAUGGCUUCCUUGAAAAUCUCUGCGGUCACUUUUCUACGUAUCUCAAGCGCCUUCAUUAUCAUUUCUGCUUCAUCUUCUCCUCCAUCGUCGUAUUCACUGUCUUCGCUUCCGUUUUGAAAAAGGGUUUGCAAAGGAGAUUUGGUUUCUGUCGGGAACUGGGGGAAAAUUGAACCAGGGAACUGAGGGAUUCGUUUCUUAGUGACGAGGGUCAUUUCCAAAAGCUUCACUUUCUCUUCCGGUGAAAUAGCAUCCCGCAAUUUCUCUUCUUGUGAUAUUGCGUUUUGAAGUUGGCUUCGUUGUUUUAGGUGGUGGAGGAGGGCAGUGCUGGACUUGGAAUUUUGGGUCCGGAGGACUGGUUCAUCAGUAGGGGACGAGGUCGCCGGGUUUUGAGGUGGUUGGUGAUGUUGAUGGUGGAGGGAGGAGGAGAUGGUAAUGGUAGAAGAGGGAACGAUUAUGGAAUUACAGUUCCUGCUGUGGUUGUGACGGUGGCAGAGGCGGAAGUGGUGGUGCUGUGGACAGGAGAACAUCAUCCCUUCACUGUUGGGUCGCUGAUCAGUGUGUAAAUGGAUAGAGUAGCG
rnacentral:misc_RNA from 1 species